UACGUAGGUGGCAAGCGUUGUCCGGAUUUAUUGGGCUUAAAGGGUGCGUAGGCGGCUUUAUAAGUCAGCGCUGAAAUAUCCCGGCUUAACCGGGAGGGUGGCAUUGAUACUGCAGAGCUUGAGUGAAGUCGAGGUAGGCGGAAUUGACGGUGUAGCGGUGAAAUGCUUAGAUAUCGUCAAGAACACCGAUAGUGAAGACAGCUUACUAGACUUCAACUGACGCUGAGGCACGAAAGUGUGGGGAUCAAACAGG
rnacentral:rRNA from 1 species